UUAAGAGCUUGCUCUUAUGAAGUUAGCGGCGGACGGGUGAGUAACACGUGGGUAACCUGCCCAUAAGACUGGGAUAACUCCGGGAAACCGGGGCUAAUACCGGAUAACAUUUUGAACCGCAUGGUUCGAAAUUGAAAGGCGGCUUCGGCUGUCACUUAUGGAUGGACCCGCGUCGCAUUAGCUAGUUGGUGAGGUAACGGCUCACCAAGGCAACGAUGCGUAGCCGACCUGAGAGGGUGAUCGGCCACACUGGGACUGAGACACGGCCCAGACUCCUACGGGAGGCAGCAGUAGGGAAUCUUCCGCAAUGGACGAAAGUCUGACGGAGCAACGCCGCGUGAGUGAUGAAGGCUUUCGGGUCGUAAAACUCUGUUGUUAGGGAAGAACAAGUGCUAGUUGAAUAAGCUGGCACCUUGACGGUACCUAACCAGAAAGCCACGGCUAACUACGUGCCAGCAGCCGCGGUAAUACGUAGGUGGCAAGCGUUAUCCGGAAUUAUUGGGCGUAAAGCGCGCGCAGGUGGUUUCUUAAGUCUGAUGUGAAAGCCCACGGCUCAACCGUGGAGGGUCAUUGGAAACUGGGAGACUUGAGUGCAGAAGAGGAAAGUGGAAUUCCAUGUGUAGCGGUGAAAUGCGUAGAGAUAUGGAGGAACACCAGUGGCGAAGGCGACUUUCUGGUCUGUAACUGACACUGAGGCGCGAAAGC
rnacentral:rRNA from 1 species